GACGAACGCUGGCGGCGUGCUUAACACAUGCAAGUCGAACGAUGAAGAAAAGAAUUGAAGCUUCGGCAGAAAUUCAUUUCGGAUUAGUGGCAGACGGGUGAGUAACGCGUGAGCAACCUACCUCUUACAAAGGGAUAGCCUCGGGAAACCGGGAUUAAUACCAUAUAACAUUGCGACGAAGCAUUUCGAUGCAAUCAAAGCUACAGCGGUAAGAGAUGGGCUCGCGUCCCAUUAACCAGAUGGUGAGGUAACGGCUCACCAUGGUAACGAUGGGUAACCGGCUGGGAAGGUGAACGGUCAAACUGGAACUUAGACCCGGUCCAGGCUUCUUCGGGAGGCAGCAGGGGGGAAUAUUGCACAAUGGAGGGAACUCCGAUGCAGCGACGCCGGGGGAGGGAUGAAGGAAUUCGGUUCGGAAAACUCCGUUCCAUGGGAAGAAAAGGACCGUACCAUAGGAGAAAGCUCCGGGUAAAUUCGUG
rnacentral:rRNA from 1 species